rnacentral:lncRNA from 1 species
CCAGUGCCUCCAUGUGACACGCAGAGCUUGUCUUCUGAGCGCAGCUCACGUGACGUAUGUUCCCUUGCACCCAUGGAACCGCAGAAUCCACUUCCUGACAUGGCUAAGUAACACUUUUCCUGCCCCUGGUUCUCUGCUGGAGGGAAGAGAGAACGAGAGCCGGAAAGAGACUUCAUCUCCUGGGCCCCAUCUCAACAUGUUCUCUCCCCAACCCUGACCUGGGGCUCGUAGGGAGCCACUGCCCUCGCUCAGGGAAGUCCGCAUCUGGAAAUAGCAGCAGCCCAGACUAGUGAAUCCCAAGAUCAUCCCGUGGGAGUGGGAAGCAGCCAGGCAUGCAAUGGGGUCUUCUCCAGGGAGCUGCAGAGCCUGCACACAUGCCAGCAGCGCAGGGACUGAAGGAGUGCAUCUGAAACAACUGCAUCCUGGGACAGUAUAUAUGGACAUUCUCCUGCGAUCACCUAAGUGCUGCAGGAUGCUUGCAAGCUUGGUGCGCAAGCCUCUGUACAACUGUCAUCCACACAGGAAAGUCCAAUCCGACGCCCUCAUCCUGAAAGGUACCUGUCGCCUGCAGCAGGCCUGCCGCUGAGGUGGGGGAUCCCUUCGUGGCCAGGCUGCCUCCCAGCAGCCUGGACAGCUCCUGCCCUUGGAUCUAGGUUCCCGCAGCAGCAAGGACUUAGUGGCUUCUACUGGGAAUCCAGGGGGUCAUUCCUCAAUAACAGAAGCACGUUAAUUGUCAUAAACGCUCAAUCAGUAAAAUGCUCAACUUACAAAAGCGUGGAGAGUUUGGUCCCCAGCACACAUAUAGAAAGAGUGUAUGGUGGGCAGUCCUCCUCAUCCCAGGGGCGGGAUGGAGGCAGACAAAUCCCUGAGGCUAACUGGCCAGCCUGCCUCGCCUCUCUUAAUAACUCUGUCAAAAUACAAGGCGGGGCCGAGAGGUGGCUCAGCAGGUAAAGGUGUUUGCUACAGGACUGGCGACCCAGCUCCAUCCCCAGGUCCCACAGGUGAAAGCUGAGGACCAGCUCUUGAAAGUUGACCUCUGACCUAUAUACACACACAAUCCAUCCAUCAACAAGUGUAAAAAAAAAUGUUGAAAAAGCAAGGUGGACCAGUCCUGAAGAGAGCUGAAGCUGACC